rnacentral:lncRNA from 1 species
AUAUCCUUCCCCUUUUGCUCCUGAUUUGACUUCCUCCUUAAUUGCAGAAUGCAGAAUUCUUUUAAAGGGGAGUUUGAAUAUGUGAACACAACAGUAUGAAAUGCUGCAGCUGGAACAGCCCAUUAAUACUGGAUCUGAUGGUAUGAAUGGCCGCCAAGAUCAAUACCAGGAGAACUGCUGCCAUCCACAUCCACAGACGCAGGUUUGAAUCAAUGGGAACUUCGGAAAUCAUUGCAGACCACUAACAUCAUUGGUGUGACAGACUUCUGAUCACGAGGUGGUCCAAGGAGGAAAGAAAGAAAUUAACAGACAAAAUUCAGAUGAGAACCAGUCUUUUCCUCCUGGAGUCCAGAGAGUUACACAGGAAGCACCCACGUGCCUUCUGGCGACACAGCACUUGUCACAGUAGAUCAAACAUGUGCUUGUACAGACUUCUUAGUGACUCCUAUUCAACGCCAUAUGGCAUCCACCAGCCAGUGACCUUUUCCUGACACUGGAAGCAAAUCUGUCAACAAUCCAGAUUUUCUAAGCUUUACUUUUCUCCCUAAGUAUUGUUCAAGUAACAUCUCAAGACCUAGGAAAUUACAGCAAUCAAUUCCAUCAGGCUAGUAUCAAAUGGGAAAGGUGAGCUUGCUUAGUCCAGAUUUUUCAAUUGUGACAUAAAGACAAGCAAAUGGGUUGGUAUCCAUUGUGAGAAUGUGCGUUCCCCAGUAAUGAUCCUUGAGGAACCCCCGUAGUGCUAUGAGGUACUGUCAUAGUGACAUUAUUCCAAACAAUGAAGUAGGUCUGGGGAAGACACUCAAUCAUACAUCAACCAAGACAGCUUGGUUGGUGCUGGAUUUGGAAACAUAGGAGGUAAAUGGAAACCAAUGGUAAAAAAGAGAGAGAGAGACAAAGUCAUUAAAUAUACACUCUGUCAUUAUCCCUGGGUGUUCAAACUCACAAUCUCGA